CAGCCGCGCGGGAAUACGGAGGGUGCAAGCGUUAAUCGGAAUUACUGGGCGUAAAGCGCACGCAGGCGGUCUGACAAGUCAGAUGUGAAAUCCCCGGGCUUAACCUGGGAACUGCAUUUGAAACUGUCAGGCUGGAGUCUUGUAGAGGGGGGUGGAAUUCCAGGUGUAGCGGUGAAAUGCGUAGAGAUCUGGAGGAAUACCGGUGGCGAAGGCGGCCCCCUGGACAAAGACUGACGCUCAGGUGCGAAAGCGUGGGGAGCAAACAGGAUUAGAUACCCGCGUAGUCCCUGUCUCUUAUACA
rnacentral:rRNA from 1 species